UACGAAGGGGGCGAGCGUUGUUCGGAAUCAUUGGGCGUAAAGGGCGCGUAGGCGGGCUUGUAAGUCGAUUGUGAAAUCCCUAGGCUUAACCUGGGAAUUGCAGUCGAAACUGCAAGUCUUGAGUUCUCGAGAGGAUGGUGGAAUUCCUGGAGUAGUAGUGAAAUACGUAGAUAUCAGGAGGAACACCGGAGGCGAAGGCGGCCAUCUGGCGAGACACUGACGCUAAGGCGCGAAAGCGUGGGUAGCAAACAGG
rnacentral:rRNA from 1 species